CAGUAGCCGCGGUAACACGAAGGGGGCUAGCGUUGUUCGGAUUUACUGGGCGUAAAGGGCGCGUAGGCGGACUGAUAAGUCAGGGGUGAAAUCCCAAGGCUCAACCUUGGAACUGCCUUUGAUACUGUUUGUCUUGAGUUCGAGAGAGGUAAGUGGAACUGCGAGUGUAGAGGUGAAAUUCGUAGAUAUUCGCAAGAACACCAGUGGCGAAGGCGGCUUACUGGCUCGAUACUGACGCUGAGGCGCGAAAGCGUGGGGAGCAAACAGGAUUAGAUACCCGUGUAGUCCCUGUCUCUUAUAC
rnacentral:rRNA from 1 species